AAAAAUCUGAGCGUACAUACUGCCUAAUUUUUUGUCAUUUGCAGAAAAAUAAGUCUACGUUAAAAAAAUGAAACUGUUUUCUAUUUUAUGCGCGAUUUAUCUCGCACUAAUUGGCACUUCUGCUGCCGAGGAAUCUCAGACUGCUAAGGCUACAGAGGUGAUAGGAAAAAUAGGAGAAGUGGCUUUGAUUCUGGUGGAUUGGAUUAUUCAAUGGUGGUCAGCAAAAUAAGAAAAUUAGGGGACGCCAAGUUUAACAUUUUGGCUCUUUUGUUAACAAAAUUUUUUGCGCAUCCGAUUUGGAAUCUAAAACGAAUUAUUUAUUUGUGAAAAAAAUAAUUAGUGAGCAAUCGAAAAAAUUUGUGAAUGACAAAACAGAAAUAUCAAUUUAGAAUCUUUCAAGAAAGUAAAGACAUGUGUCAAUAAAAACUUAA